rnacentral:rRNA from 1 species
AUGUCUCGGGGAGCCGCCAUCUCACACAUCCCGCCUUCCUGCCCAACCGCCGGCAGGUCAAGGUCAUGGACUGCUGUAACGGCCUCCUUCUCUGCUCCUCAUACGAUCGCCGGCGACCAUGGCGACGUGUUCCGGUACAUUGUGUGCAAUCCCGCCACAGAGGAAUGGGCUGAGUUCCCGUACUGCGGCUAUUCCGGCCUGGUGGCUAAUGCACGCUUGUGUUUUGAUCCAGCCGUGUCCCCUCAUUUCCAUGUGUUUUUGUUGCCGGUGGCGGAUAUCUGCAUUACCGGAGUGCAUGUCUAUUCAUCUGAAACCGGGAGUUGGGUUCAUAAGGAGAAGAGAUGGAGCGUCACUAUUAAUGUCGCUAAUGAUCGGUCAACUGUUUAUCUUAAUGGUUAUCUGCAUUUCUGCGCCAUUGUUGAUGGUUCUGACGGUCGUCUAGCUGCAGUGGACAAGGAGUGGGGAGCAAGGACUAACUUCCGUGUUCCUGAUGGUCUGGAUGUUGGUUUUAUUCAGCUGUCACAGGGCUGCCUGCAUUAUGCUGGUUUUGACACAGAUGAUGAUAAUGUUGUUCGACUGCUAGUUUAUGUUCUUAAAGACUAUGACAGCAAAGAAUGGAUACUGAAGCAUAGCGUCGAAACUUCGCAUUUGCUUGGAGGGCGACACAUAGAAUACCUUGAUGAGGACUUCGAUUGGAUUGCAAUUCAUCCAGAAUGUGACUUGAUCUUCUUCGCUGUGGCCCAGGAGGAUAUCACAUUCAUGUGCUAUGAUAUGGAUAGUGGACAAGUUAAAGUGAUGUGCAAUCUUGAAGAUAGCAACCAGGCAUAUUUUCUGUAUGUGCCACUAUAUGAAGAGUUACAAUCGUUGCACAAGUGA